rnacentral:rRNA from 1 species
GUAGGGAAUCUUCCGCAAUGGACGCAAGUCUGACGGAGCAACGCCGCGUGAGUGAAGAAGGUUUUCGGAUCGUAAAACUCUGUUGUUAGAGAAGAACAAGUGCUAGAGUAACUGUUAGCGCCUUGACGGUAUCUAACCAGAAAGCCACGGCUAACUACGUGCCAGCAGCCGCGGUAAUACGUAGGUGGCAAGCGUUGUCCGGAUUUAUUGGGCGUAAAGCGAGCGCAGGCGGUUCCUUAAGUCUGAUGUGAAAGCCCCCGGCUCAACCGGGGAGGGUCAUUGGAAACUGGGGAACUUGAGUGCAGAAGAGGAGAGUGGAAUUCCAUGUGUAGCGGUGAAAUGCGUAGAUAUAUGGAGGAACACCAGUGGCGAAGGCGACUCUCUGGUCUGUAACUGACGCUGAGGCUCGAAAGCGUGGGUAGCAAACAGGAUUAGAAACCCUGGUAGUCC